UUAUCAGGGGUGCUCCGCUGUUUGGCGGGGCUGAGAACAAACCCUAUGAAUCUGAACCAGGUAAUGCUGGCGUAGAGAGUAUG
rnacentral:ncRNA from 1 species